rnacentral:rRNA from 1 species
UACGAAGGGGGCUAGCGUUGCUCGGAAUCAUUGGGCGUAAAGCGCACGCAGGCGGUCUCUUAAGUUUCGAGUGACAGGUGGUGGCUCAACUGCCACAGGCCUUGGAAAACUGGGAGACUUGAGGACUUCAGAGGGAUGCGGAAUUCCAGGUGGAGCGGUGAAAUGCGUAGAGAUCUGGAAGAACACCAAAGGCGAAGGCAGCAUCCUGGGAAGUAACUGACGCUCAUGUGCGAAAGCUAGGGGAGCGAACGGG